CUGAGUUUUUGGGACUUUGGAUGAAAUGCCUGAGGGAAAAUUAAUCGAUCACCGUUGUCUUGAUGAAUCCUGUUUUCUGCAAUUAAGUCUAUUGCCUUUGUGAAUGCCACAUUCAAAACCGUUUUUGAAUAUUGUCUUUGUAGGUAUUUUUGGAACAUUUCCUGAAUCUGUAUCUUCGCCCGGUUGUCAUCUAAAUUAUUGCGCAAUACACUUAUGAAUUGGGAGAUGGGC